rnacentral:rRNA from 1 species
AGAGUUUGAUCAUGGCUCACAACGUACGCUGGCGGCACGCCUUAUACAUGCAAGUCGAACGAAGUAGCAAUACUUAGUGGCAGACGGGUGAGUAACAUGUGGGUAUCUUCCCUUUGGUGAGGAAUAACACGAGGAAACUUGUGCUAAUACCUCAUAAGUCUUUACGGAGAAAGCUUUAUGCGCCAAUGGAUGAGCCCGCACUUGAUUAGUUAGUUGGCAGGGUAAUGGCCUACCAAGACUUUGAUCAAUAGCUGAUUUGAGAGGAUGAUCAGCCACAUUGGGACUGAGACACGGCCCAAACUUCUACGGGAGGCAGCAGUAGGGAAUCUUGCACAAUGGAGGAAACUCUGAUGCAGCGAUGCCGCGUGAGUGAAGAAGGCCUUUGGGUUGUAAAGCUCUUUCGUCGGGGAAGAAAAUGACUGUACCCGAAUAAGAAGGUCCGGCUAACUUCGUGCCAGCAGCCGCGGUAAUACGAAGGGACCUAGCGUAGUUCGGAAUUACUGGGCUUAAAGAGUUCGUAGGUGGUUAAAAAAGUUGGUGGUGAAAUCCCAGAGCUUAACUCUGGAACUGCCAUCAAAACUUUUUAGCUAGAGUAUGAUAGAGGAAAGCAGAAUUUCUAGUGUAGAGGUGAAAUUCGUAGAUAUUAGAAAGAAUACCAAUUGCGAAGGCAGCUUUCUGGAUCAUUACUGACACUGAGGAACGAAAGCAUGGGUAGCGAAGAGGAUUAGAUACCCUCGUAGUCCAUGCUGUAACGAUGUGUGUUAGACGUUGGAAAUUUAUUUUCAGUGUCGCAGCGAAAGCGAUAAACACACCGCCUGGGGAGUACUACCGCUAUGCUUAAAACUCAAAUGAAUUGACGGGAUCCGCACAAGUAGUGAGCAUGUGGCUGA